ACGAGCCUUGUAGCGACAUCUUGUGGUUUCUUGCGAUAUAACGUUGUUUUUAUAUUUUACCCGCAGGAAAUCACAGAUGGCGCUGCAGGGUUAUCGAUGGGCCCGAAUAUUUUUUGAUUAUUUUAUUUUCUUCUAAAUUAUUAUAUUAAAAUUAUCUGCAACAUUUAUUUUUGAUAUAUUAUAAUUAUAUUGUUUAAAUUUUGGGAUCAAACAAGUCGAUCGAUUGUUGUCGUUGAUUCGGCGAAUUUAUGGUUUGGUAGAUUUUUUCUAGUUUGGCAACUUUGUUCGUGGUUCUUGUGUCAGACUGACAGCUGGCUGAGCUGAGAGACAGGUUAUGGAAAGUGGGGACGUCGCGAGAGCGCCGGAGACUCCACUGCCGUAACAAUAAUGUGGGCAAAUUAAAAGCCACGAUUUAUCGGCGACAUCAAGAGCCGAUGUCUCGAUUUAAAUAAAUAGCUUAACCGAGAUGCAACAUCACUGAAAUCCCAUCGCCUAAGGUCCAGUGGGUGGGUUUAGGUUUCAUCCGAGCGAUGCCCAACUAUCCCGGAUGAACCUAUGGGGUUUUUGUUUUUUCUUUAAGUUUUUAACGUUUUGAAGUUUUAACGUUUUUGCAAGUUUUUAACGUCGAACGUUUUGCAAGUUUUAAUCUAAGAAGAAGUUUAUGAUUGGAUCAGACUAUUUCAACAAAUUUUGUGAAUGAAGAUUGCUACUGUUUUCUUCUGCGUUUGCAAGUUAUUUCAAGCUUCUUUACGGCGGAGCUUGCCUUGGUUGUUUGCACGUGGAAGCUUUUCUUUGUGCGGCGCGCAUGUGGAUGUGCCGCGCCUCUCCUUUUGUCAACACACCGGAUAAGGCCCGGUGAAGGCCCGGUGAGGUUGACCGGUGGACGUGCAGCCCGCCAGCUGCGUAACAGUUGGCCCGCUGCGCCGCCAUCGUCCAGCACGCCCUGGCCUGAGCCGGCCUCAACUCAUCACCUGAACGGUAUUCCGGGACGCCUCAGGUAGGCCUGAUAGUCACGAGGUCCUCGAGUAAGUGAGGUGCCUACAGGUGUACGGACAGUGUUUUUAAACAUAGUGAUAUCCCAUGGUUGUUACGGAGUGACAAUUAACCUGACGGACCAAAGCGCGACCUGUCUCCCUCCAUAGGGUUUUUGACCUACCUAUGGUUAAUGAAAUUUGUAGAUUUAAAAAAUAUACAUUGUACAAAUUCAA
rnacentral:lncRNA from 1 species